rnacentral:misc_RNA from 1 species
AAGUCGUAACAAGGUUUCCGUAGGUGAACCUGCGGAAGGAUCAAUAGAAAUCGCCGGCUGAGCCGGUAUAAAAUUCUAUCCACCCUUGUGUGCAAACAAUGGAAGAAAAGAGAGCCAUUUGGAUACUUUUGUAUCCAAUCUCUCUAAAAUUUUUAUAAACUCCAUCAAAUUUUGAAUAAACUAAUUUUUUUUUUAAAUAAAAAAUAUUAUACAACUUUCAACAACGGAUCUCUUGGCUCUC